rnacentral:misc_RNA from 1 species
CACCGAACGGUCGGCAGGCGAUCCGCGUCGGUCGCGCUGGGUGGUAUGGUUCCCCAGAGGCCGGUUCUUGUGCUGCCUACCCCUUCAGGGGAAGAGUUCCAAACUCGAUGUAAGCCUCCAUCCGGCGCCCUCCAAAGGGCGCGGGAGGACAACGGAGCACCCCCCGCGUUCCACCGAGCCUCCUCGGUCGCGUGGCCCGCGGGGACGUGCGAUGCUCUCGGACCCAGCGAACGCCGUGGGCGAGGACUCACGUCCCGGUCCCUAGUGAAGCAACGGUAUAACGCCGACGGCCGCUCCCGCCCCCCGACCGCCCCGGCGGCGUGAGGGCGAAGGCCCGGCGUCGAUGAGGAAUGCUACCU